GUGCCAGCAGCCGCGGUAAUACAGAGGGUGCAAGCGUUGUUCGGAAUUAUUGGGCGUAAAGGGAGUGUAGGCGGUGAGUUAAGUCUUCUGUGAAAUCUACGGGCUUAGCCUGUAACGUGCAGAGGAAACUGGCUGACUUGAGUAUCGGAGAGGGCAGGGGAAUACCCAGUGUAGAGGUGAAAUUCGUAGAGAUUGGGUGGAACACCAGUGGCGAAGGCGCCUGCCUGGCUGAUUACUGACGCUGAGACUCGAAAGCAUGGGGAGCAAACAGGAUUAGAUACCCUGGUAGUCC
rnacentral:rRNA from 1 species